rnacentral:rRNA from 1 species
UUCGGGAAACCGGAGCUAAUACCGGAUGAUAUUUUGAACCGCAUGGUUCAAAAGUGAAAGACGGUCUUGCUGUCACUUAUAGAUGGAUCCGCGCUGCAUUAGCUAGUUGGUAAGGUAACGGCUUACCAAGGCAACGAUGCAUAGCCGACCUGAGAGGGUGAUCGGCCACACUGGAACUGAGACACGGUCCAG